rnacentral:rRNA from 1 species
AUAAACGCUGGCGGCGCACAUAAGACAUGCAAGUCGAACGGAAGUCGUUAUACAAGGAGAGAAGAUUUAUCGGAUUGAAUUAUAUAACAAUGGCUUUAGUGGCGGACUGGUGAGUAACGCGUAAGAAAUCUACCUAUUAGAGGGGAACAACAAUGAGAAAUCAUUGCUAAUACCGCAUAUGCCAUAAACAUCGCAUGAUGAAAGUGGGAAAGGAGCAAUCCGCUGAUAGAUGAUCUUGCGUCUGAUUAGUUAGUUGGUGGGGUAAUGGCCUACCAAGACGACGAUCAGUAGCCGGACUGAGAGGUUGAACGGCCACAUUGGGACUGAGAUACGGCCCAGACUCCUACGGGAGGCAGCAGUCGGGAAUAUUGCGCAAUGGAGGAAACUCUGACGCAGUGACGCCGCGUGCAGGAAGAAGGUUUUCGGAUUGUAAACUGCUUUAGACAGGGAAGAGAAAGGACAGUACCUGUAGAAUAAGCUCCGGCUAACUACGUGCCAGCAGCCGCGGUAAUACGUAGGGAGCGAGCGUUAUCCGGAUUUAUUGGGUGUAAAGGGUGCGUAGACGGGAAUACAAGUUAGUUGUGAAAUACCUCGGCUUAACUGAGGAACUGCAACUAAAACUAUAUUUCUUGAGUGCAGGAGAGGUAAGUGGAAUUCCUAGUGUAGCGGUGAAAUGCGUAGAUAUUAGGAGGAACACCAGUGGCGAAGGCGACUUACUGGACUGAAACUGACGUUGAGGCACGAAAGUGUGGGGAGCAAACAGGAUUAGAUACCCUGGUAGUCCACACAGUAAACGAUGAAUACUCGCUGUUUGCGAUAUACAGUAAGCGGCCAAGCGAAAGCAUUAAGUAUUCCACCUGGGGAGUACGCCGGCAACGGUGAAACUCAAAGGAAUUGACGGGGGCCCGCACAAGCAGUGGAGUAUGUGGUUUAAUUCGAAGCAACGCGAAGAACCUUACCAGGGCUUGACAUAUAGAUGAAUAUAUAAGAGAUUAUAUAGCUUUUCGGAGCAUCUAUACAGGUGGUGCAUGGUUGUCGUCAGCUCGUGUCGUGAGAUGUUGGGUUAAGUCCCGCAACGAGCGCAACCCCUGUUUCUAGUUGCCAGCAUGUAAAGAUGGGAACUCUAGAAAGACUGCCGUAGAUAAUACGGAGGAAGGUGGGGAUGACGUCAAAUCAUCAUGCCCUUUAUGUCCUGGGCUACACACGUACUACAAUGGCUGUAACAGAGGGAAGCGAACCAGUGAUGGUAAGCGAAACCCGAAAAGCAGUCACAGUUCGGAUUGAAGGCUGAAACUCGCCUUCAUGAAGCCGGAAUUGCUAGUAAUGGCAGGUCAGCAUACUGCCGUGAAUACGUUCCCGGGCCUUGUACACACCGCCCGUCACACCAUGAGAGUUGGGGAUACCCGAAGCCUGUGAGCCAACAGUUAAAUGGGGCAGCAGUCGAAGGUAGAAUCAAUGAUUGGGGUG